rnacentral:rRNA from 1 species
GACGAACGCUGGCGGCGUGCUUAACACAUGCAAGUCGAACGGAAAGGCCCUGCUUUUGUGGGGUGCUCGAGUGGCGAACGGGUGAGUAACACGUGAGUAACCUGCCCUUGACUUUGGGAUAACUUCAGGAAACUGGGGCUAAUACCGGAUAGGAGCUCCUGCUGCAUGGUGGGGGUUGGAAAGUUUCGGCGGUUGGGGAUGGACUCGCGGCUUAUCAGCUUGUUGGUGGAGUAGUUGCUUACCAAGGCUUUGACGGGUAGCCGGCCUGAGAGGGGGACCGGCCACAUGGGGACUGAGGGACGGACCAGAAUCCAACGGGAGGCAGCAGUGGAGAAUAUUGCACAGUGGGCGGAAGCGUGAUGCAGCAGUGCCGCGUGCGGGAUGACGGCCUACGGGUUGUAAACCGCUUUCGCCUGUGACGAAGCGUGAGUGACGGUAAUGGGUAAAGAAGCACCGGCUAACUACGUG